AACGAACGCUGGCGGCAUGCCUAACACAUGCAAGUCGAACGAUCCCUUCGGGGAUAGUGGCGCACGGGUGCGUAACGCGUGGGAACCUGCCCUUAGGUUCGGAAUAACUCAGAGAAAUUUGAGCUAAUACCGGAUAAUGUCUUCGGACCAAAGAUUUAUCGCCUUUGGAUGUGCCCGCGUUGGAUUAGCUAGUUGGUGGGGUAAAGGCCUACCAAGGCGACGAUCCAUAGCUGGUCUGAGAGGAUGAUCAGCCACACUGGGACUGAGACACGGCCCAGACUUCUACGGGAGGGAGGAGUGGGGAAUAUUGGAACAUGGGCGAAAGCCUGAUCCAGCAAUGCCGCGUGAGUGAUGAAGGCCUUAGGGUUGUAAAGCUCUUUUACCCGGGAUGAUAAUGACAGUACCGGGAGAAUAAGCCCCGGCUAACUCCGUG
rnacentral:rRNA from 1 species